rnacentral:rRNA from 1 species
UACGAAGGGGGCUAGCGUUGCUCGGAAUCACUGGGCGUAAAGGCGCGUAGGCGGCCAUUCAAGUCAGGGUGAAAGCCUGUGGCUCAACCACAGAAUUGCCUUUGAUACUGUUUGGCUAGAGACCGGAAGAGGUAAGUGGAACUGCGAGUGUAGAGGUGAAAUUCGUAGAUAUUCGCAAGAACACCAGUGGCGAAGGCGGCUUACUGGUCCGGUUCUGACGCUGAGGCGCGAAGCGUGGGGAGCAAACAGG